rnacentral:rRNA from 1 species
UACGAAGGGGGCUAGCGUUGCUCGGAAUCACUGGGCGUAAAGGGUGCGUAGGCGGGUCUUUAAGUCAGGGGGGAAAUCCUGGAGCUCAACUCCAGAACUGCCUUUGAUACUGAGGAUCUUGAGUUCGGGAGAGGUGAGUGGAACUGCGAGUGUAGAGGUGAAAUUCGUAGAUAUCCGGAGGAACACCGGUGGCGAAGGCGGCUUCCUGGACCGACACUGACGCUGAGGCGCGAAAGCUAGGGGAGCAAACGGG